rnacentral:misc_RNA from 1 species
GGGGGUGCAAAGAAAAAUAAAACCAGACAGAAUUUUUUUUCAUGUGUACCCCAACCACGCAGACAGAUACCGGUAUUACUUUCUACAUUGGUGUACCAAUAUUAAUAUUCAUUCAUGUAAAUGCUUAGAGCUUUAUAGAAGGUAAGAGGUUUUAGAUUCUCUUACCUGAUGUAUUAGAAACUGUAUAUAAAUUGCAGUGUUCUAAAUAUUUGUAAUGAAGAUGAGCAUAUCACAAUUAUUUUUGUUUUUCAUGCUCUGCAUAAAUCAUUACAAAAGUU